rnacentral:rRNA from 1 species
UACGUAGGGCGCAAGCGUUAUCCGGAAUUAUUGGGCGUAAAGAGCUCGUAGGCGGUUUGUCGCGUCUGCUGUGAAAACCCGAGGCUCAACCUCGGGCCUGCAGUGGGUACGGGCAGACUAGAGUGCGGUAGGGGAGAUUGGAAUUCCUGGUGUAGCGGUGGAAUGCGCAGAUAUCAGGAGGAACACCAAUGGCGAAGGCAGAUCUCUGGGCCGUAACUGACGCUGAGGAGCGAAAGCAUGGGGAGCGAACAGG